rnacentral:lncRNA from 1 species
GUCAUAUGGUAAUAAUAGAUCUAUAACAUUAAGAAAACUAUAAGAGAUGUCCAUUAAAAAUAUCUCCUUAUAUGUAUUUUUACAACACAUCAUCAGCUUGUUUAUGAACAAGGACACAAAUCAAAAUAAUGACAGAUUGCCCAGAUUAGGUUAAUCUGUACUUGAUAAUAGAAUGUCUUUCAUUUAUUCAUCAUUCAUUCAUUUAUUCAUUCAACAAAUGUUACUUAAAUGUUCAUGCUGUGUCAGGGACUAUGCUAGGAGCUUAAAAUACAUCAGUGAAUAAAAUCCUCCAUCAUUGUUCUUGGGGAAUUUACCUUCUAAUGAAUUCUUCAUUUUUAUUCCCCAAGCUAGUUUAAAUAAUAGAAAUUUUCAUUAGCUUUUCAGUAAUUCUGAGUCCAAGAGGCACAAGGUACAAGACAUCUAGUCCAAGAAGCACUGGUUCCACCAAUGUCAUAUAGCAAGCUAAUAAUUCUCCCUGGAUGGCUGCCUUUUGUUUUACUUUAAAAGUUAUCAAUUGAAAAUUUAUUUUAGGAGAUAAUUUUACAUAAGUAUGGCCCAUUGACUGGAAUAUUGCUUUUUGAAUAAUGACACUGAUGUAUUACAGAAGCUAAAAACUGAAAAAUCCACUAAUUUUCUGUUUGGUCUUUUAAGUAGACUCUGUGGCUACUGAACUCUGCUUUCAACUGGGAGGUGGUUCACAGAUAAGGCUUCCAUUGGAAACAUCACAUAAUGGAUUUUCUCCCCAAGUAUGUUGCCUAUCACUAGGCCUGUCAAAGGUGGAUGCACAUAGACCAAAUCCAGUGGAGUGACUUUUUCCUUUGUAAUUUACCUUCUGUGGAAGGUAGGUAGGAUGUCCUCCAAUGAUGCCCACAUCCUAAUUCAUGGAACCUAUGACUAUGUUAUGUUACACAACAAAAUGGACUUUGUGAUGUAAUUAAGAAGAGAGACAAUCCUAAUCACACAAGACCUUAAAAGCUGAGAACUUCCUCCUGCUGGGGACAGGACAGAUGAGGCAGAAGGGGAGGUUAGGGAGGUUUGAAGAGUGAGAAGAACUUCUGCAGUGGCUGACUUGGAAGAUGAAGGAGGUUAUGAACCAGGGAAUGGGGGCAGCCUCUAGAGGCUGAGAACCUGCUGACACCUACCCACAACCGCUAAGGAAAUGAAGACUUUAAUUCCACAACUGCAUGCAACUAAACUCAGCCAACAACCUGAAUAAGUCGGAAAAAGGCUUCUCCAGAGCCUCCAGAUAAGAGGCCAGGCUGGCGACACCUUGAUUUUGACCUUGUGAGACCUAGAGCAGAGAAACUAGCCAAGAUCACUCAGACUUCUGAUCUACAGAACUGUGAGACCGUAAAUUUAUGUUGUAUUAAGCCACUAAUUGCGUGGGAAUUUGUUACAGGAGCAAUAGAAAAUGAAUACACCUUCUGAUGUAGUUUAAUCAGUUGACAUUAGACGCAAGGUCAAAAAUUUACAUCAGGUAUCUGAAUGUGUAGCAUAUACAACUGAGUGUUGAAAGAAGACAAAAUCGUUUUCAUCACGAAGAAUAUGUGCUCAGUAAGAAUCAGAAUGUUCAAUUGUGUGAAGGUGGGAGAUGGGAAGAUUGGUAUUAUGGCCUGGAUCCAGAAAUCAGUCUUCCACUAUAGGAAAUGGGAAUUUAAAGAUGAUCAGAAGACAGUUGGGAGCAGAGUGAGAAUAAGAACCCUCAACUGCUGUCUCACCUUUCAGAUCACGAAGAAGUUUUUUACAAUGAGCAGAACACUCAACCUGAAAGCAGAAUGGAUUGAGUCACUGCAGCGUGGCAGUGGAAUGGUGUUUGAUGUUGGCAAAGGAAACAUGUACUUCUAGACUGGACAGUUUUCCCUUAGUUUACAGUUUCCAAAUAGAGACAUCACUUUGAAAUAACAUGGAGAACAUACAUGGAUGUACUGAACGAAGAAUAAAGUCUGUGUUGCAGUCCUGUCUCCAUUGACUUUUACAAAUAUGGCUUUGGAUGAAUCACCUAAGUUUUAUUUUUGAGAAUUUACGCUUACCAUGUAUAAAAUGAUAUUGCUAAUAUGUUUGCUGCCUACCCCAUUGGGUUUUGUGAGGAAUAAAUGAUAAUGCUAAGAAAAAGGCAUUGAGAAUUAUAACUCAUUAUUCAAAUGCAAGUUAUUUAUGUGGUUAUUGUCAUUAUUAUUAAUACUUUCACUCAGCUAAAACCUUAGAACCAAAAACAUCUGAGAACUUGCUUACUAUUAAUAACUGUCUUAUUUGAUUCAGGGACUCAAGAAAGUAUCAGCUCACAUGACUGAGUUUCAUCAAUUCCAAGUUGUACAUUGAGAAUCACGAUAAAGAUCGGGAAUAUGAGACUUUAAGCAUAAUUCUUUUUCAUCACCAUCUGGCUAUUUCUACUUCUCCAGUCCUAACUUCUAACCUGAUCUUAGUCACCAGGGCUAAAUUGCAAAGUAGAAAAUUUCAAGGAAGGUUUCUUUGGGUUCCAUACUCUGCUUUUAUGCCUUCUACAUAAAGAAAGGGAAACAGAAAAAAAAAAAAAAAAAAAAAAAAAAGAGUGGACCUCACAUUCAUACACAACUUCCUCCCAACAAUUUCCUUAGUAGAGCCUGGGAGGUCCUAACUGAACCAACCCUGCUCCCUCCACUGGCUCUGCGCCACCUGAUUACCUCCAUGCCAUGCUCCCUUGUAUCUCAAUACUGCUCAUAGGUCACCUCAUCAGAGACACCUUCCCUGAUUACAGCAUACGAAAUUAGAAAACAAACCUGAUCUCAUUCCAUUGUCCUUGCUCUGCUUCACAACUCUCAAUCACCAGCAGAUGUAGAAUAUACUUAUUUGUUUCUUAUCUGUCCCCUCUCCUAUCCAUGUGAGCACCACAAGAAUCAGACUUGGUUUUCCAUUGUAACCCCUGAGCCUGCCACAUGGAAAGUAUUCAAUAAAUCAUUGUUGAACAAAGGAAUGAAUGAUUCUGUGAAGGGAUAUAUUAAUUUAAAAUGUCCUGGUCCUUAGAAGGAUUUUCAAAACUUGAAAAUAUGAAGUGGUGUGAGGACUGUUGCUCAAGGUUAAAAGAAAGGAAAAAGAAUGCAUCAUUCAGACAACUGAUGGGCUUUGAAGGAAGAGAGCAGGAGUAGCAGGGCAGAGCAAGUGUGGACAGCACAGCAGGUAAAAUGACAGAUUCUAAUAGGGUGACCAACUCAUUGUGGACGAUCUAGACAUUUUCC